CUGGCUCAGAACGAACGCUGGCGGCGUGCUUAACACAUGCAAGUCGAACGAGAAAGGUCUUUCGGGACUGAGUACAGUGGCGCACGGGUGAGUAACGCGUAGAUAACCUAUCCAGGUGUUUGGGAUAGCCCUUCGAAAGGGGGAUUAAUACCGAAUACGUUGAUUGUCCAUAGGGAUGAUCAAGAAAGACGGCCUCUAUUUAUAAGCUGUCGCACAUGGGGGGGUCUGCGUACCAUUAGCUAGUUGGUGGGGUAAGAGCUUACCAAGGCUACGAUGGUUAGCGGGUCUGAGAGGAUGAUCCGUCACACUGGCACUGAAACACGGGCCAGACUCCUACGGGAGGCAGCAGUGAGGAAUAUUGCGCAAUGGGGGAAACCCUGACGCAGCGACGCCGCGUGGGUGAGGAAGGCUUUCGGGUCGUAAAACCCUGUCAGAUGGGAAGAAAUGCAUGAGAGUUAAUACCUCUUAUGUUUGACGGUACCAUCAAAGGAAGCACCGGCUAACUCCGUGCCAGCAGCCGCGGUAAUACGGAGGGUGCAAGCGUUGUUCGGAAUCACUGGGCGUAAAGGGCGCGCAGGCGGCCUGGUAAGUCAGAUGUGAAAGCCCACGGCUCAACCGUGGAAGUGCAUUUGAAACUGCUAGGCUUGAGUAUCAGAGGGGAAGGUGGAAUUCCCGGUGUAGAGGUGAAAUUCGUAGAUAUCGGGAGGAAUACCGGUGGCGAANGCGACUUUCUGGCUGAAUACUG
rnacentral:rRNA from 1 species